ensembl:lncRNA
AUUGAUUCUGCAGUGCGCAGCAUUACGAUAAGAAGAAAAAAAGAAAAAUAACAACAGGCGAGUUUGGAGCGACAUGAGAGUGAGUAAAUCGCUUUCAUUUGGUGAUAUCCAAAUGUGUGCUGCCAUUUGGUGAGUGAGGUGGUCACCCUACCCCACCCUGACCCUCUCCUCUCCUCUCUGAAGGCCUGUCAGUCAGAGGAAGAUCUCAGGUGCGCGCUGGUGUCGCCAUAUCCCACAGAGGGAUUUGUUUAGACUUCAGUCUUCAAGUAAACCUGACCUGUAUGAGUGAGCGAGCGAGAUGCUGACCGCAGGGGAAAAUUCGCACACUUAUCUCGUAUGUCUCUGCUACCAGGAACUGGAGCGUUUGGAAACCAGCAUUUCAUCUGAUAACCUUUAUUGCUGAAAUAAACAUAAUGAAAGUGUCCGUAGGUGCUGCAUGCGUCUUCCUAAACGUGAGCAUAUUUUGAACCGGUUUGUUCAUAAUCUGUCUUGAAUUUGUAUACUUUCUCACUGGUGUUCCAGCUUUAUUUCCUGUGUGUGUCUUCCAGGUUCAAGAAUUAGGCCGGGAAAUAAUGAAGGUAGAUAAUAGCUGACCUUCUGUUAACUUGGCUGAUAAUUGCGAUGCGGAGGCUGGAAUUCUGCAGCUCUGGGUUCUCGCGCUGAUGAGAUGAACAAAUAAAAAGCAGCAUUUACAGAGUGUCGCCGGUGAAUCCAGUGGAGAGAAAUCCCCCCACAACUAACUGCAAACUGGCAUUUAGAUCUGCCUCCAUUUUGUAAGCAAUGCCCCAAUUUCUAAUGAUCCAAUCAAUUCCCG